AGUGAAGAAGGUUUUCGGAUCGUAAAGCUCUGUUGUAAGUCAAGAACGAGUGUGAGAGUGGAAAGUUCACACUGUGACGGUAGCUUACCAGAAAGGGACGGCUAACUACGUGCCAGCAGCCGCGGUAAUACGUAGGUCCCGAGCGUUGUCCGGAUUUAUUGGGCGUAAAGCGAGCGCAGGCGGAAUGAUAAGUCUGAUGUGAAAGCCCACGGCUCAACCGUGGAACUGCAUCGGAAACUGUCAUUCUUGAGUGCAGAAGAGGAGAGUGGAACU
rnacentral:rRNA from 1 species